rnacentral:rRNA from 1 species
CCUAAGGUAGCGAAAUUCCUUGUCGGGUAAGUUCCGACCUGCACGAAUGGCGUAACGACUUCCCCACUGUCUCGACCAGGAGCUCGGCGAAAUUGCAGUACGAGUAAAGAUGCUCGUUAAGCGCAGAAGGACGAAAAGACCCCGGGACCUUUACUAUACCUUGGUAUUGGCAUUCGGUGUGGAUUGUGUAGCAUAGGCGGGAGGCCGAGAGGCGCGGUCGCCAGAACCGGCACCGCGCGCGGAGCCGUAAGGUGAAAUACCGCUCUGUUCGCAUUGGAUGUCUAACCUCGAACAGUCAUCCUGUUCAGGGACAGUGCCUGGCGGGUAGUUUAACUGGGGCGGUUGCCUCCCAAAGAGUAACGGAGGCGCCCAAAGGUCCGCUCAGCCCGGUUGGCAAUCGGGUGGCGAGUGCAAGUGCACAAGCGGGCUUGACUGCGAGGACGACGGUCCGAGCAGGGACGAAAGUCGGGACUAGUGAUCCGGUGCCGGUGUACGGACGCGGCAUCGCUCAACGGAUAAAAGGUACCCCGGGGAUAACAGGCUGAUCAUUCCCAAGAGUCCAUAUCGACGGGAUGGUUUGGCACCUCGAUGUCGGCUCGUCGCAUCCUGGGGCUGGAGCAGGUCCCAAGGGUUCGGCUGUUCGCCGAUUAAAGCGGCACGCGAGCUGGGUUCAGAACGUCGUGAGACAGUUUGGUCUCUAUCCUCUGCGCUCGUUGGAAUGCUGAGGAGGCCUGCCCAUAGUACGAGAGGACCUGGGUGGACGAACCUCUGGUAUGCCGGUUGUCACGCCAGUGGCACGGCCGGUUGGCUACGUUCGGAAGGGAUAACCGCUGAAAGCAUCUAAGCGGGAAGCCUGCUCCAAGAUAAGCAUUCCGUGGAACCUUCGAGUUCCUGUAGUCCCCAUGCAGAACACGUGGUCGAUAGGCCGGACGUGGAAGCCCCGCGAGGGGUGGAGCCGACCGGUACUAACGGACGAAAGGCAACACUAA